rnacentral:SRP_RNA from 1 species
UCGGCCCCUCGCGACGCUAGGUCGAAAACCCCGCCAGGGCCGGAAGGCAGCAACGGUAUCGACUGACGCGGGCGCCGAGGCCAGCCGG